rnacentral:rRNA from 1 species
AUACGUAGGUGACAAGCGUUAUCCGGAUUUACUGGGCGUAAAGGGCGUGUAGGCGGUCUUGCAAGUCAGAAGUGAAAUUCCUGAGCUCAACUCGGGCGCUGCUUCUGAAACUGCAGGACUUGAGUGCUGGAGGGGAUAGCGGAAUUCCUAGUGGAGCGGUAAAAUGCGCAGAUAUUAGGAAGAACACCGGUGGCGAAGGCGGCUAUCUGGACAGUAACUGACGCUGAGGCGCGAAAGCGUGGCGAUCAAACAGGAUUAGAUACCCUGGUAGUCCACGCAGUAAACGAUGAUGGCUAACCGCUGGAUCCAUCGGUUCAGUGGCCAAGCGAAAGCGAUAAGCCAUCCACCUGGGGAGUACGACCGCAAGGUUGAAACUCAAAGGAAUUGACGGGG